UCCAGACUCCUACGGGAGGCAGCAGUGGGGGAUAUUGCACAAUGGGGGGAACCCUGAUGCAGCGACGCCGCGUGGGUGAAGGAGCGUUUCGGCGCGUAAAGCCCUAUCGGCAGGGAAGAAGGAGGACGGUACCUGACUAAGAAGCCCCGGCUAACUACGUGCCAGCAGCCGCGGUAAUACGUAGGGGGCAAGCGUUAUCCGGAUUUACUGGGUGUAAAGGGGGCGCAGACGGCAGCGCAAGCCAGGAGUGAAAGCCCGGGGCCCAACCCCGGGACUGCUCUUGGAACUGCGCGGCUGGAGUGCAGGAGGGGCAGGCGGAAUUCCUGGUGUAGCGGUGAAAUGCGUAGAUAUCAGGAGGAACACCGGUGGCGAAGGCGGCCUGCUGGACUGCAACUGACGUUGAGGCCCGAAAGCGUGGGGAGCAAACAGGAUUAGAUACCCGCGUAAG
rnacentral:rRNA from 1 species